GACGGAAGGUGCAAGCGUUGCUCGGAAUCACUGGGCGUAAAGGGUACGUAGGCGGCUUCUUAAGUCUGGUGUGAAAGCCCAGGGCUCAGCUCUGGAAGUGCACUAGAAACUGAGGAGCUUGAGUACCGGAGGGGAGAGUGGAAUUCCUGGUGUAGCGGUGAAAUGCGUAGAUAUCAGGAGGAAUACCGGUGGCGAAAGCGACUCUCUGGACGGUUACUGACGCUGAGGCACGAAAGCGUGGGGAGCAAACAGG
rnacentral:rRNA from 1 species